rfam:Hymenolepis nana genome assembly, scaffold: HNAJ_contig0001105
GUCUCCGUUGCGCAAUCGGUUAGCGCGUUCGGCUGUUAACCGAAAGGUUGGUGGUUCACGCCCACCUGGGGGCG